GGAGAUCAAGGAGCCAUUCCCACCCCACGUCGAAACACAAGAAUAACAGUGCUUAAUAAGAGCAUAAGAAACACUAGUUGUUUUUUCAAGGGUGCUAACUCACCUCUUCCUAUGGCGCUUCUCAGGAAAGAAACCAAGGCUCUCCUCUUGGCAGCAAUCCUAGCUUUCGCCAUGGUCAUGUCAGCAUGCCACGCUGAAGAAGGUAGUAACUGAUAAUAAGAUCUCCAGUUGUGUUCUUCCUUGCAUUCUUAGUCAGCUUAAAAUUACACCGUUUUCACAAUCUUUUUGAGUUUAUUUAUGGGUGUUUUUCAUACAUGCUCCUACUAACAACUCUCCUCGGGCGUGCUGCAUCAUAAUAUAUCUGCAUGCAGACGCGUGCCCUCAUGUCGUGCCGUGUGGCUUCGAGACGGAGUGCGUGCUCUACUGCAUAGAGCUAGGACUAAAGGACCCAAAGCUGCGGUGCCGGCUUGAUCACAAAGAUGGCUCCCAGAGGUGCUGCUGCGUGCCACGUGGUCCAUGAACCGGCGUACGCCAAUUGCUCUAUCUAUACAGCGAUCGAUCCCACCGGCAAAGAUAAAUAUAAACCUCUAUGUCAAUAAACCAGUGGGAAAGUAAUAAUUCGUGGUACCUUUUGUGUUUCUUCUUCGAUCACUUAUAUACGAACACAGGCCCAUACGUGUGCGCGCACGCCCUGUACCGUUCUCUUCUCAUACAUGUUCAUAUGUGCCUCGCUAGCUUGCGCGUACACGUGUGGUACUGGUAAUGCAUACAGAUUCAAGAUGUUGCUUGCAG
rnacentral:lncRNA from 1 species